UACAGAGGGGGCGAGCGUUGUUCGGAAUUACUGGGCGUAAAGGGCUCGUAGGCGGCCAACUAAGUCAGACGUGAAAUCCCUCGGCUUAACCGGGGAACUGCAUCUGAUACUGGAUGGCUUGAGUUCGGGAGAGGGAUGCGGAAUUCCAGGUGUAGCGGUGAAAUGCGUAGAUAUCUGGAGGAACACCGGUGGCGAAGGCGGCAUCCUGGACCGACACUGACGCUGAGGAGCGAAAGCCAGGGGAGCAAACGGG
rnacentral:rRNA from 1 species